rnacentral:sRNA from 1 species
ACAGAUGAGAAAACUGAAACAUUGAGAAGUCAAGUAACUUGCUCAAGAUUAUAUAGCUAGUGCAUAGAGGGGCAAAGAUUUGAACCAGACUGCCUGGUUCCACAUGCACUUUAACCUGCUUUAUUUAGGCUUUUGAAAGCAACCUAAAUAGCUAACAUUCGCUAAAUAAGUGCAGUAUACCUGGUCUGUGUGACAUUAAUUAAAAAGUGACAGGUAUUAAAAAGUGAACAUUCUGAACCCUUUUAGCAACAUGGCAAAUACUUCUGAUGUGAUGUAUGCAUAUAAAUAUGAUCAAAAGCAAAUAUCCCAAAAGGUUAAUGGCAGUUAUGUCAGGUUAGUAGCACAAUAGUUUCUUUUCUCAUUUUCUCACAUUUUUAGUAAUGUGUGUUGCCUAUAUUAAAAAACAAAUAUUAAAAAGUAGUAGCAUGUAUUAGAUCAGAGCAUGGGCUCAGACUGCCUGUGUCAUCUCUUAUUAGACGUAUGACCAGGGACAAGUUAUUGACCUUUUGUUUCUAAGUCUCUAAGUUUGUCCUGUAAAAUGAAGAUAAUUGUAGUAACUACCUAAUAACAUGAUUGUAAGGAUUAAAUUAUUUAGAACACUAUUUGUUACUUGGAAAAUAUGCAAUCAUAAGCUAUUUUGUUGUUAUUGUUAUUUUACUACCAAAGCUUAUUGUUUCAGAGCCCCUAGGUGACCAGGCAAAAUGGCAGUUCCCUCCAGCUGGUCCUCAGAUGGGCACAUCUAUUAGCCUCUGCUCUUGUAAGAAGUUAGCUGCAGAACCCACAUGUGAAUCCUUGUAGGACUCUGGAGAAGAUCAAAUGGGAGCUUAGAUGUGGAAGCUCUUUGGAAACCAAGAAACACUCUGCAAAUGAAAAGGGUGGAAGAGUAAACUGUUCCUGUUUCUCCAUCUUGACAGGAAGCAGAAGUUCUCCUUAGCUGAUUUUUCUUCUUGCCUUAUACUGGGUUCUUUAACACCAGAACAAAAAUAAAUAAAUAAAAGAAUCUUCCAGAAAUUCAUGAAGAGACUUCAGGUCAGGAAAGCCUGAACUUUCUCAUCCAACACCUGUUCAAGUCGGAGGAUGCUGAUUAAUUCAUGAUGGAAAGGUAUCAAUUUCACAGCCCAGACCUCUACAUUCUUGAAAUGCUCUUCUCAUGGGAGACAUUAAAUAAGCUUUGAAUUAACUGAAGAACCAAUGAUGUGAUCCCUGGAUACUGGCAAUUGUUGCCCAAGAAACCCUCUCCCCUUGCUAUGGGAGUGCUGGGCAC